rnacentral:rRNA from 1 species
CCUACGGGCUGCACCAGUGGGGAAUAUUGCACAAUGGGCGCAAGCCUGAUGCAGCCAUGCCGCGUGUAUGAAGAAGGCCUUCGGGUUGUAAAGUACUUUCAGCGGGGAGGAAGGUGUUGUGGUUAAUAACCGCAGCAAUUGACGUUACCCGCAGAAGAAGCACCGGCUAACUCCGUGCCAGCAGCCGCGGUAAUACGGAGGGUGCGAGCGUUAAUCGGAAUUACUGGGCGUAAAGCGCAUGCAGGCGGCCUGUUAAGUCAGAUGUGAAAGCCCGGGGCUCAACCUGGGAACUGCAUUCGAAACUGGCAGGCUAGAGUCUUGUAGAGGGGGGUAGAAUUCCAGGUGUAGCGGUGAAAUGCGUAGAGAUCUGGAGGAAUACCGGUGGCGAAGGCGGCCCCCUGGACAAAGACUGACGCUCAGGUGCGAAAGCGUGGGGAGCAAACAGGAUUAGAUACCCCAGUAGUC